rnacentral:rRNA from 1 species
AGUGAACGCUGGCGGCGUGCUUAACACAUGCAAGUCGAACGAGAACGGAUUAUAGCUUGCUAUAAUUGUCAGCUAAGUGGCGCACGGGUGAGUAAUGUAUAGGUAAUAUGCCUCUUACUAAGGGAUAACAAAUGGAAACGUUUGCUAAUACCUUAUACUCCUUAUUAACAGAAGUUAAUAAGGGAAAGAUUUAUUGGUAAGAGAUUAGCCUGUAUUGUAUCAGUUAGUUGGUGGGGUAAUGGCUUACCAAGACUAUGACACAUAACUGUUUUGAGAGGAUGAACAAGCACACUGGAACUGAGAGACGGUCCAGACUCCUACGGGAGGCAGCAGUGGGGAUUAUUGCACACUGGACGAAAGUCUGAUGCAGCAACGCCGCGUGGAGGAUGACACAUUUCGGUGCGUAAACUCCUUUUAUAUGAGAAGAUAAUGACGGUAUUAUAUGAAUAAGCACCGGCUAACUCCGUGCCAGCCGCCGCGGUAA